rnacentral:sRNA from 1 species
UACCAGCCACUUACAAUUAAAGGAGAAAUGUAAUUCUGACCACAGCUCCUAUCAGCCGUUAUGCCUGCCCCUUCCUGUAUGUAAACAGCUUUGUACAGAAAGACAAAAAUCUUGGUGGGAUGCGGUUUGUACUCUGAUUCACAGAAAAGCACUGUUUAAGUAGUAAAACAAAAAUAUUGCUUUCACUUAGUGCGUAGGUUUUACCAGGGAUUUAAUCCUCAUGUGAAGAUUUAAUUUGUCAUGUGACCCAUUAACAUAUAUGUAUGUAAGCGCUGAACUGUGUAUUUAGAAAGCAAUUUUAGUAAAUUGAACUAUUUUUUAGACCUGGAAACUCAGCAAAAUUGAGACUUCUAGUUCAGCAUGAAAUAAACACUCUAAGAGCCCAGGAAAAACAUGGCCUUCAACCUGCUCUGCUUGUACAUUGGGCAAAAUGCCUUCAGAAAAUGGGCAGCGGUCUUAAUUCUUUUUAUGAUCAACGAGAAUACAUAGGGAGAAGUGUUCAUUAUUGGAAGAAAGUUUUGCCAUUGUUGAAGAUAAUAAAGA